UCCAGACUCCUACGGGAGGCAGCAGUGGGGGAUAUUGCACAAUGGGGGGAACCCUGAUGCAGCGACGCCGCAUGGGUGAAGGAGCGUUUCGGCGCGUAAAGCCCUCUCGGCAGGGAAGAAGGAGGACGGUACCUGACUAAGAAGCCCCGGCUAACUACGUGCCAGCAGCCGCGGUAAUACGUAGGGGGCAAGCGUUAUCCGGAUUUACUGGGUGUAAAGGGGGCGCAGACGGCAGCGCAAGCCAGGAGUGAAAGCCCGGGGCCCAACCCCGGGACUGCUCUUGGAACUGCGCGGCUGGAGUGCAGGAGGGGCAGGCGGAAUUCCUGGUGUAGCGGUGAAAUGCGUAGAUAUCAGGAGGAACACCGGUGGCGAAGGCGGCCUGCUGGACUGCGACUGACGUUGAGGCCCGAAAGCGUGGGGAGCAAACAGGAUUAGAUACCCCCGUACU
rnacentral:rRNA from 1 species